AGCUUUGCACAGUGGCAGUAUUGUAGCCAAUGAGAUUUAUCUGAGGCGCAAUUAUUGCUAAUUGAAAAAAAAUUCAUCACAGAAUUAUUGAUAGUAAAAAUGGAACCCUCAAGACAACUAGCAAUAAUAGAAAAAUCAUUUA